GGCAGUAAAUGAUGACAACUUGGGAAUCUCUCUGAAAUUUCUGAAGACAACAUUAUGGUCUGAUACUGCC